UUUCAGUUUGUUUCCAAUGAUGGAAAGAAAAUUGUAAAGAGUACAGACAGCAUCAAAUCUAAGGACCAAGGAUUAGUUCAUGCAAAAUACUAAACACAAACAAACAAACAGACAGACAGACAGACAGACAAAACCAAUAACAAAAAUAAUUAAAAACUAAACAGCAUCGAAGCCAGGCUGGUGAAGGAAAUGUAACAGUCAUUCUUAAAAGAAAGUUUAUUUUAGGAAUGUGAACAUCAGGAAAUAAUACUUUUAACUGUUUCCCUACAACUCAGAUGUAUAAAUUGUAACUGUAUGUCAUUAACAUUGAAAAGAUAGACACAUUCAGGAACAGAAUAGGCUUUCUUAUAUCUUUACUUUUUACACAAAUAAUUUCAUAAAUUGAUAUUUAUAUUCUUUUUUGCAUCUACUUGCACUCUUCAUUUUUGUACAUAUAAUUAUUUUCCCAUUUGUUCAAAACAAUAUAUAUUAAAUUUAAAUAUGCUACAUUUGGCAUAAGGAAAUAAGGAAGAAAUAAGGAAGAAAGAAAGGAAGAAAGAAAGAAAGAAAGAAAGAAAGAAAGAAAGAAAGAAAGAAGGAAAGAAAUGAAGGAAGUAAAAAAGGAAUAAAAGGCAUAAUGUUCUGAUGUUCUUUUGGAAAUUGCAUAUAUAUAUAUAUAUAUAUAUACAUAUAUAUAUAUAUAUAUAUAUAUAUACAUAUACACAUAUAUUAGUAUUAGUGUUUUCAAGUAAAAUCAUUUUUUAAAGUGCACUUGGCUACUGGCUAGGAUGGGAUAACACUCAUGACAAGCAGGUUACUCUCUUUCAUAGUGGACAAUUUGGGGAUGGCCAGAGUGUGAGAGAGACACCUACUUGCUCUGAACUUAAUCAGUGUCUCUUCCAGGCUUCCGCCAUCUCUCAUAUCCCUGAUGUAGUUUCCAUGUGUUCUUAACAACCAGGGCUUGUUAAGAUUUGCUCUAAAGCAGAUAUGCACUUUCAACAACUAUUCUUACAAUUGUGUCAAGAAAUGUUAUCUGGUGAAACAUAAAUACAUGUAGGUAUAAAAAUUUGUAUCCCAGAAAUAUAUAACGAACAAUGUUCUUUCUAACUCCACUUCAGACAUUUUUGGUUCAUGCACAGACUCUAAGUGCUCUGCUUAAAUGAGUUUCUGGAGAAACACAACUCUAACAUUGAGCAAAUGUCCCUUGAACAUUCACACGUCUCCUGGAAACAACCGGUCAAGCGCUCAUAUUUCCCGUCCGUAAAUAGAUUGUUUUCAAAGAAGAAAUUCUAAACUUAUUUUCCACAAUCUAGAAGCAGGCUGCUAAAUAAGACAUAAUAAUUCACAGCAACAACAAAUUUGCCCUGCCAAGAAGACAGCAAGUUCUCUAGAGCCUUGGCCUUCUUUUACUGCCCUGAGUUACAGAGCAUCAGAAAGCAACAGACUCAAGAGAACGUGGAUGGGGGCAUCUGAAAAUGUGAGCAGGAUGAAGUCUUCCCUUCUCAAGAAUUUGUCACAGCAGCGUCAAAACUACCGACUGGUCAUUCAAUCAAAGUCCUAAUAAGGGCACAAACUUCAGAAGCUUGGGCUGUCCUGUGAUUCCUCAGAAAUGAAGCAAGCAGCUUCCCAAGGCUCUAUGGACUGAUUUGGUCACUGGCACUACGUUGCUCAAGCAGCUUCAUGGAGCACAACACGGAAAAGAAGCUCCGGUCAAUGUGACAGAGUGAGCAGCUCGGGCUGGACAGGCUUCUAACUGUUUAGAGGAGCUCUCGUUCUUUGAAAUACUUCAGUGAUGUCAGAAUGUAUAGCAAUUCUUUAGGACUCUAAAAUGAAGAAUAAUGUCAACAACUAAACAGAUCAUUGGAAGGAAUGAAAUACUUGCUCCACAAGUAUAUGCUAAGAAGCCAGAACGCAGAUUUCACACAGUUGAGAGACAUGUAUAGACUUUUCCAGAAAGCUCUCCCGUAAAAGCAGUGGCUUCAGGUCGGUUUGCAGAAGGAUGAUCUGUUCUUUCUUUUUCAGUUUGACCGGGAUUCAAAUUUUGCUCUGUGUGAUAAGUGUAUAAGUAUUUUAAUACUCCCUCUUAAAAGUCUUCCCUACAUACUAUAUUAUAUGAAUCCUGCAUUUUGGGUAGAAAGAAAACAAAAGACUAAAAGCCUAACAUCUGCUAUGUUGUCCUAAUAGUUUUGGCUCAUUUAUAUUUUGAACAUCAGUGUAUAUCAGUAUAAAAUUUUAAUAUAACCUGCUGUAGAAGCAUACCUUGCUGCAAUGUGUUUGUACUCAGUGCUGUGGAGUGGUUUACUAUGACCAAAUUUAAAUCUAGGGCAAAGGGAGAACCUUAUAGAGGAGAAGUUUGUGUUUAGGGAAAUUCUUUC